rnacentral:rRNA from 1 species
GAUGAACGCUGGCGGCGUGCCUAAUACAUGCAAGUCGAGCGAACAGACGAGGAGCUUGCUCCUCUGACGUUAGCGGCGGACGGGUGAGUAACACGUGGAUAACCUGCCUAUAAGACUGGGAUAACUUCGGGAAACCGGAGCUAAUACCGGAUAAUAUAUUGAACCGCAUGGUUCAAUAGUGAAAGACGGUUUUGCUGUCACUUAUAGAUGGAUCCGCGCCGCAUUAGCUAGUUGGCAAGGUAACGGCUUACCAAGGCAACGAUGCGUAGCCGACCUGAGAGGGUGAUCGGCCACACUGGAACUGAGACACGGUCCAGACUCCUACGGGAGGCAGCAGUAGGGAAUCUUCCGCAAUGGGCGAAAGCCUGACGGAGCAACGCCGCGUGAGUGAUGAAGGUCUUCGGAUCGUAAAACUCUGUUAUUAGGGAAGAACAAAUGUGUAAGUAACUAUGCACGUCUUGACGGUACCUAAUCAGAAAGCCACGGCUAACUACGUG